rnacentral:tRNA from 1 species
GGCCGGUUAGCUCAGCUGGUUAGAGCGUGGUGCUAAUAACGCCAAGGUCCAGGGUUCGAUCCCCAUACUGGCCA